rnacentral:rRNA from 1 species
AUUGAACGCUGGCGGCAGGCUUAACACAUGCAAGUCGAGCGAGCGGCGGACGGGUGAGUAAUGUCUGGGAAACUGCCUGAUGGAGGGGGAUAACUACUGGAAACGGUAGCUAAUACCGCAUACCAUCAGAUGUGCCCAGAUGGGAUUAGCUAGUAGGUGGGGUAAUGGCUCACCUAGGCGACGAUCCCUAGCUGGUCUGAAAGGAUGACCAGAAACAUUGGAACUGAGACACGGUAAAGACUACAACGGGAGUCAGAAGUGGGGAAUAUUGCACCAUGGGCGCAAGCCUGAUGCAGACAUGCCGCGUGUGUGAAGAAGGCCGUCGGGUUGUAAAGCACUUUCAGAGAGGAGGCGUUACUCGCAGAAGAAGCACCGGCUAACUCCGUGCCAGCAGCCGCGGUAAUUC